rnacentral:lncRNA from 1 species
CGCUCACCAGGGAGUCGGCCCUUCUCAGGAAGCCCGCCCUGGCCCCUUGGCUUGCGAACUGGGCAUUCACCACAGCAUCCUCAUUCACAGAUGGCUGAGAAAAUGAAAACAUUUGCUCCAUCGGUGAGCAUCUCAUCAUCCAGCAUUGGGACUGACUGGCUUCGAGACAUACUGGACAUACCAUGCUCUGGUCCCAGCAUCUUAUCCGGUCGUUCGUGGCUUCCUAAGUGAUCACUCCCAGAAGCAUAGUUUUCUAAUGGCACUGUGCUAGACUCAGGCAAUACAAGGAUGGACAAGAAAGAAAGCAUCCCUGCCUUCAUGAAACUCACAGUCUGAAGUCAAUAAACAAACAGCUGUUGCCACUUUACAGAAAGAAAAGUGUGGCUCAGACCAUAAUUUCAGGAAGAAGCAUGCAAUUUUUGGUAAUUCAAUGAAAUAUAAAGAUGAAUCAGAAGUCCGGUAUAGAAUGCAUCAUCCAUUGGUUCUGGAUUUAACAUACAAAAUCCGUAAAAGAACUGAAAUGUUCUGAAGCUUGAAUCUCUCUCAUGCAGUUAUUCUGUUGGAUGAAGUGGCAUUUCAAAUUUGCUCACUCAGAUUUGGGACAUUAGUCUCAUUCUGAAGCACACCAAUGCUUCCAGAACUACCAGCAUGCUGUAAUGAAAGGUACCGCCAUGAGACUUGAAGAAGUAUCUGACUUUGUCCCAAAAUCUAUCUGAAUAAGAAAAACGGACAAACAAAAAGAUAAGGAGAAGAAAGAGGAAACAAAAGCUAAAAGGUUCACCUUAACUUUCCCAGCAUUUUCGUCAUCUUCUUUUUUGUCUUCAAAUUCAAAGGCAACAGUCAUGCGUUGUUGUCUCUGCUCUUCCCACAGUGUAGGGUUAAAGCUGUCACUGUCUGACUGGAAAUCUACAGUUAGAUUCCAAAGUAUUAUUGUUUUUUUAAAAAACAAUUUUACACAAAGUAUUUAAUAUAGUAUGCAAAAAUGGUGAUAGAUACUACAAACAAAUACGGAAAUAAAGAAGAAAGAAAG